GCAGGCCUAACACAUGCAAGUCGAGCGGAAACGACACUAACAAUCCUUCGGGUGCGUUAAUGGGCGUCGAGCGGCGGACGGGUGAGUAAUGCCUAGGAAAUUGCCUUGAUGUGGGGGAUAACCAUUGGAAACGAUGGCUAAUACCGCAUAAUGCCUACGGGCCAAAGAGGGGGACCUUCGGGCCUCUCGCGUCAAGAUAUGCCUAGGUGGGAUUAGCUAGUUGGUGAGGUAAUGGCUCACCAAGGCGACGAUCCCUAGCUGGUCUGAGAGGAUGAUCAGCCACACUGGAACUGAGACACGGUCCAGACUCCUACGGGAGGCAGCAGUGGGGAAUAUUGCACAAUGGGCGAAAGCCUGAUGCAGCCAUGCCGCGUGUAUGAAGAAGGCCUUCGGGUUGUAAAGUACUUUCAGUUGUGAGGAAGGGGGUAGCGUUAAUAGCGCUAUCUCUUGACGUUAGCAACAGAAGAAGCACCGGCUAACUCCGUGCCAGCAGCCGCGGUAAUACGGAGGGUGCGAGCGUUAAUCGGAAUUACUGGGCGUAAAGCGCAUGCAGGUGGUUCAUUAAGUCAGAUGUGAAAGCCCGGGGCUCAACCUCGGAACUGCAUUUGAAACUGGUGAACUAGAGUACUGUAGAGGGGGGUAGAAUUUCAGGUGUAGCGGUGAAAUGCGUAGAGAUCUGAAGGAAUACCAGUGGCGAAGGCGGCCCCCUGGACAGAUACUGACACUCAGAUGCGAAAGCGUGGGGAGCAAACAGGAUUAGAU
rnacentral:rRNA from 1 species